rnacentral:tmRNA from 1 species
UUUGUUGCUUUUUUACAUUCUUUACUAUAUACUGAUUUUUGUCAUUUUGAUGGCUACGGUGAUAAACGUCGUGAUAAAUAGAUGACGUGGACUCGGGGGCAGAGCCCGACAUCUCCACCAUAUGGGGAUGAAUAGAUUCGACAUGCGUUGAAAAGCACGAUUUUCACUCGGGAUGGUUUACGUAAUAGAACCAAAAACUUAAAUGCGAACUCUUUUUUCGCAUGCAACGAUAAUUUUGCAGACGAGCUGAUGGCUAUUGCUGCUUAAUUGACGUAGACGCGGUUUGGGAGCGCCGGGCAACAGAAGUCUCCUACG